rnacentral:rRNA from 1 species
CCUACGGGGGGCAGCAGUGAGGAAUAUUGGUCAAUGGGCGCGAGCCUGAACCAGCCAAGUCGCGUGAGGGAAGACGGUCCUAUGGAUUGUAAACCUCUUUUGUCGGGGAGCAAAAGACGCCACGCGUGGCGUUCCGAGAGUACCCGAAGAAAAAGCAUCGGCUAACUCCGUGCCAGCAGCCGCGGUAAUACGGAGGAUGCGAGCGUUAUCCGGAUUUAUUGGGUUUAAAGGGUGCGCAGGCGGAUUUGUAAGUCAGCGGUAAAAAUGCGGUGCUCAACGCCGUAUCGCCGUUGAAACUGCAGGUCUUGAGUGAGCGAGAAGUAUGCGGAAUGCGUGGUGUAGCGGUGAAAUGCAUAGAUAUCACGCAGAACUCCGAUUGCGAAGGCAGCAUACCGGCGCUCAACUGACGCUGAGGCACGAAAGCGUGGGGAUCGAACAGGAUUAGAUACCCCUGUAGUC